AUGGUGCACCAUCAGUUGCGUCAAAUAUUGGGACAUAUUUAAAACAAAUUGGUAAUUUGUUAAUAACUGAAUGCAUAAAAGCUAAUGAUAUAGAAAAGCAAAAUGCUACAGAAAACUUUUUAAAAUUAUUACAAGAAGAUUAUGGUAUAUCUAUAAACAAAACAGUAGAAGAAAAUAUGACACAAAAUAAAAGACAGAAAAAAGUUAUGCUUCCAUCUAUGGAAGAUAUAAAAAAAUUACACUCAUAUCUAAAUAACGAAAGAAAAUCAUUGUAUGCAAAACUUCAGAAGAAAUUUAAAUACGAAACAUGGCUAGAACUUGCAAAAGUUACACUUACAUCAAUGCAAGUUUUUAAUAGAAGAAGAGCAGGAGAAAUAGAACGGGUUACUAUUGACGAUUUUAUUACUCGCGAAGGUAUAACGAAAGAAACUCAUUUAGAUUUAUACAAAUCAUUAGGCACAAAAUUACAGCAGGUUGCUGAUAAAUACGUAAGAUUCUUAAUUCGUGGAAAAUUGGGACGUACAGUGCCUGUGAUUUUAGACAUGGAAUUAGUACAAUGUGUUGAACUAAUUUUGAACCAGCGAAAGGAUGCAAAUGUUCCUGAAAAAAAUCCGUAUGUGUUUGGCAUACCUAGUAGUACCAAACGCCAUUUCAAAUAUUUAAGAGCGUGUAUCCUUAUGCGAUAUUUUUCUAAAAAAUGUGAUGCACAAAUACCACAUUCUUUAAGAGGUACU